rnacentral:ncRNA from 1 species
UACCUGGUUGAUUCUGCCAGUAGUCAUAUGCUUGUCUCAAAGAUUAAGCCAUGCAUGUCUAAGUAUAAGCAAUUAUACCGUGAAACUGCGAAUGGCUCAUUAAAUCAGUUAUCGUUUAUUUGAUAAUACCUUACUACUUGGAUAACCGUGGUAAUUCUAGAGCUAAUACAUGCUAAAAAUCCCGACUUCGGAAGGGAUGUGUUUAUUAGAUAAAAAACCAAUGCCCUUCGGGGCUUUUUGGUGACUCAUGAUAACUUUACGGAUCGCAUAGCCUUGCGCUGGCGACGGUUCAUUCAAAUUUCUGCCCUAUCAACUUUCGAUGGUAAGGUAUUGGCUUACCAUGGUUUCAACGGGUAACGGGGAAUUAGGGUUCGAUUCCGGAGAGGGAGCCUGAGAAACGGCUACCACAUCCAAGGAAGGCAGCAGGCGCGCAAAUUACCCAAUCCCGACACGGGGAGGUAGUGACAAUAAAUACUGAUACAGGGCUCUUUUGGGUCUUGUAAUUGGAAUGAGUACAAUUUAAACCUCUUAACGAGGAACAAUUGGAGGGCAAGUCUGGUGCCAGCAGCCGCGGUAAUUCCAGCUCCAAUAGCGUAUAUUAAAGUUGUUGCAGUUAAAAAGCUCGUAGUUGAAACUUGGGCCUGGCUGGCGGGUCCGCCUCACCGCGUGCACUCGUCCGGCCGGGCCUUCCUUCUGAAGAACCUCAUGCCCUUCACUGGGCGUGUUGGGGAAUCAGGACUUUUACUUUGAAAAAAUUAGAGUGUUCAAAGCAGGCCUUUGCUCGAAUACGUUAGCAUGGAAUAAUAAAAUAGGGCGUGCGUUUCUAUUUUGUUGGUUUCUAGAGACGCCGCAAUGAUUAACAGGAACAGUCGGGGGCAUCAUGCAGAAGAGUGCACCGGGCAAAAGCCCGGAUGAGCAACUGCAAGCAAGUCUGGCUGCAAGCGCUUCCCUUUCAACAAUUUCACGUGCUGUUUGACUCUCUUUCCAAAGUGCUUUUCAUCUUUCGAUCACUC